rnacentral:rRNA from 1 species
CCUGACGUAGAUGCUAUUCCCUAAGAUUAACCCAUGCAUGUUAUUGAAUUUGAAAGAUGGACUGCUCAGUAAUACUCACUUAAUUUGUUGUAUAUUGAUUAUAACUACGUUAAAGUGUAGCUAAUAUAUGUACAGUAAGAGUGAGACCUAUCAGCUAGUUGUUAAGGUAAUGGCUUAACAAGGCUUUGACGGGUAACGGUAUUAUUUUGUAAUAUUCCGGAGAAGGAGCCUGAGAGAUGGCUACUAAGUCUAAGGAUUGCAGCAGGGGCGAAACUUGACCUAUGGAUUUUAUCUGAGGCAGUUAUGGGAAGUAAUAAUAAUUUUUUCGCAUUUUAAAAGUAUGUGAGAUGAUUAAUUGGAGGGCAAAUCAAGUGCCAGCAGCCGCGGUAAUACUUGUUCCAAGAGUGUGUAUGAUGAUUGAUGCAGUUAAAAAGUCCGUAGUUUAUUUUU